UACGUAGGGAGCAAGCGUUGUCCGGAAUCAUUGGGCGUAAAGCGCGCGUAGGUGGCUUCAUAAGUCCGUUGUGAAAGUCAAAGGCUCAACCUUUGAAAGCCGAUGGAUACUGUGAAGCUAGAGUACGGAAGAGGCGAGUGGAAUUCCUGGUGUAGCGGUGGAAUGCGCAGAUAUCAGGAGGAACACCGGUGGCGAAGGCAGCUCGCUGGGACGGUACUGACGCUGAGACGCGAAAGCGUGGGGAGCAAACAGG
rnacentral:rRNA from 1 species